UACGGAGGGGGCUAGCGUUGUUCGGAAUUACUGGGCGUAAAGCGCACGUAGGCGGCUUUGUAAGUUAGAGGUGAAAGCCCAGGGCUUAACCCUGGAAUUGCCUUUAAGACUGCAUCGCUAGAAUCGUGGAGAGGUGAGUGGAAUUCCGAGUGUAGAGGUGAAAUUCGUAGAUAUUCGGAAGAACACCAGUGGCGAAGGCAGCGAAUUGGCGCUAUAUUGACGCUCAGGCACGAAAGCAUGGGGAUCAAACAGG
rnacentral:rRNA from 1 species